GACAGAGGAGCCAAGCGUUGUCCGGACUGACUGGGCGUAAAGCGCACGCAGGCGGACGCGCGCGUGGGGUGUGAAAUCUGGCCGCUUAACGGCCAGGCGCCAUCCCAUACGGCGGGUCUGGAGUGAUGCAGAGGUCGAUGGAAUUGCCGGUGUAGUGGUGAAAUGCGUAGAGAUCGGCAGGAACACCCAGGGGGAAACCAGUCGACUGGGCAUCUACUGACGCUGAGGUGCGAGAGCGUGGGGAGCGAACCGG
rnacentral:rRNA from 1 species